GACGAACGCUGGCGGCGUGCUUAACACAUGCAAGUCGAACGGAAAGGCCCUGCUUUUGUGGGGUGCUCGAGUGGCGAACGGGUGAGUAACACGUGAGUAACCUGCCCUUGACUUUGGGAUAACUUCAGGAAACUGGGGCUAAUACCGGAUAGGAGCUCCUGCUGCAUGGUGGGGGUUGGAAAGUUUCGGCGGUUGGGGAUGGACUCGCGGCUUAUCAGCUUGUUGGUGGGGUAGUGGCUUACCAAGGCUUUGACGGGUAGCCGGCCUGAGAGGGUGACCGGCCACAUUGGGACUGAGAUACGGCCCAGACUCCUACGGGAGGCAGCAGUGGGGAUUAUUGCACAAUGGGCGGAAGCCUGAUGCAGCAACGCCGCGUGCGGGAUGACGGCCUUCGGGUUGUAACCCGCUUUCGCCUGUGACGAAGCGUGAGUGACGGUAAUGGGUAAAGAAGCACCGGCUAACUACGUG
rnacentral:rRNA from 1 species